rnacentral:lncRNA from 1 species
CGGGUUGGGGAAGGAGAGGGCACAGCCACCACGGUUGUUGCCCUUGGAUCAAAAAGGAUUUGAGGGAGGGAGAUGUAUUCCCAACCAUGAAGAGAGAGGGAUCAUCCCUUCCUUUUGGUCUCUUCACCGGGACCGGCCAUCAUCGCCGGCGUGGCAGCGGCCACGGCUGGCGACGACAUAGACCGGUGGUACAGGGUGGGAGUCAAGCCACCCUGACUGCCCUAGAUUUGAGGGAUUGAGAUGUUUGGGGACCUGGUGAUGGACCUCAUAGUAGAUGUGAAUUAUAUUUUAGAAUAUUUAAAUAUUGAAUAAUUUAGUCUGUGAAAUAUAAUUGAUGUUGUAGGGGAAAAGUCAGCGGUGCCAGGAGAUUUUGAUCAGGGGACUCAGCACCCCAGCGCGUAGGUUGUGAUUCGGAUCUGUGCUUGUAUCAGUCUACAAUUUCUGUAAGAAUCCCUACAUCUGAGCACUUUUAUUUAUGCAUAUAUUGGAUUUAUCAUUGGAUAUAUUUUAUCAGUAUGUUGCUAUUAAUUUUUGAGCUUGUAUGACACUAUGAGGUGUGCAUUUUGUUUAUUAUGAAAGUAUAAGAAUAAUUAAAUUGGGAAGGAAUAACAUAUUUUUGAGAAAUUAUGAAAAUA